rnacentral:rRNA from 1 species
CAACUCUCAGCAACGGAUAUCUUGGCUCUUG